GUACAAAUCAAUAUUUAAAUGGAAAGUAAUUAGUCAUCAAAUUAUUAAUAUUAAUUAAGAAUUUAAAACUGAGCAUAAUUUAGAGAUAUUAGUUGGAGUAAAAGCUAAACUGUUUGGAUUUUAUGUUAGCUAAAAGCUAGCUUUGACCUUUCAUUCCACCACACAAUUUAAUAUGGAGUAUAUGUAAAUCUGUAAAUAAAACCAAAAACCCACCAUAAUCCGAUGGCCGCUUCAUCUUCAUCAGCAAACCCACAAAUAAUUCCACACUCUUCCUCUUCAUCUCCCCUCUUCAAUUCCCACAAAUUAAAUUCCUUUAAUCAUGUUUUCGGUUACAAAUUCUGAACAUAAUAAUGAUGUAUGUUAAUGCUUUUUUAGUACGGAGAUUUAUUCAAUCAUCUGCCACUACAAUAUUAAUUCUAUAUAACAUAGUAAUUCCAUCAUCAAAUUCACAUGUAGAUUCACAUUUGGAAUGAUGAGUCAAUCCCGGAAAUACAACCACUUGAAGACAAAUAAAAUCCACAACAUACAAAAUGGAGGAGACUAAAUAUGAAGACAUGACGGGAAAAUGUGGAUGCUACAAUAUGAAGAAUGCUAUCUCAUUCGGCCAUUCCCCAACUAUCUUAUGUAAACAUAGUUACUUAAACAUAUACUCAACAAUAUUUUGCUAAUCUAACUUCCUAAUUAUUGAUUGCUUACCAAUCCAUUGAAUGCCAACUUCAACAUAUUAUAAUGCAAAACAACAACAACAACAAAAAAAAAAAAAGUUAUUGUUCCUCACAAAAUAAGUCACGACCAAAACCCCCGAUGUCUCCAUACUACUAUUUGUCUAUUUCAUGAUUAAAUAAAACUACAUGCACCAAAAAAAAAAAAAA